rnacentral:tRNA from 1 species
GCUCGGGUGGCGGAAUGGCAGACGCGCUAGCUUGAGGUGCUAGUGGGGUAUCCCGUGGGAGUUCAAAUCUCCCCUCGAGCACCA